rnacentral:rRNA from 1 species
GACGAACGCUGGCGGCGUGCUUAACACAUGCAAGUCGAACGAAGUGGCGAACGGGUGAGUAACGCGUAAUCAACCUGCCCUUCGGUGGGGGACAACAGUUGGAAACGACUGCUAAUACCGCAUACUGAAGGUGGGGUUUGCGUGUGAUUGGCUAGUUGGAGGGGUAACGGCCCACCAAGGCGAGGAGCAGUAGCCGGGCUGGGAGGAUGAACGGGCACAAUGGGACUGGGACACGGCCCAAAAUCCUACGGGAGGCAGCAGGGGGGAAUCAUCCGCAAUGGACGGAAGUCUGACGGAGCAACGCCGCGGGAGUGAAGACGGCCUUCGGGUUGUAAAGCUCUGUUAAUCGGGACGCGGUACCGGAAGAGAAAGCCACGGCUAACUACGUGCCAGCCGCCGCGGUAAUAC